UACGUAGGGUGCGAGCGUUAAUCGGAAUUACUGGGCGUAAAGCGUGCGCAGGCGGUUCGUUGUGUCGGUGGUGAAAUCCCCGGGCUUAACCUGGGAAUGGCCAUGGAAACUGGCGAACUGGAGUGCGGCAGAGGGGGGUGGAAUUCCCGGUGUAGCAGUGAAAUGCGUAGAUAUCGGGAGGAACACCAGUGGCGAAGGCGAGUCCCUGAACAAACCCUGACACUGAGGCACGAAAGCCAAGGGAGCAAACAGG
rnacentral:rRNA from 1 species